rnacentral:rRNA from 1 species
AUUGAACGCUGGCGGCAGGCCUAACACAUGCAAGUCGAGCGGAGCGGCGGACGGGUGAGUAAUGCCUAGGAAUCUGCCUGGUCGUGGGGGAUAACGUUCGGAAACGGGCGCUAAUACCGCAUACUAUCAGAUGAGCCUAGGCCGGAUUAGCUAGUUGGUGGGGUAAAGGCCUACCAAGGCGACGAUCCGUAACUGGUCUGAGAGGAUGAUCAGCCACACGGGAACUGAGACACGGGCCAGACUCCUACGGGAGGCAGCAGUGGGGAAUAUUGGACAAUGGGCGAAAACCUGAUCAAGCCAUGCGGAGUGUGUGAAGAAGGUCUGCGGAUUGUAAAGCACUUUAAGUAGGGAGGCGUUACCGACAGAAUAAGCACCGGCUAACUCCGUGCCAGCAGCCGCGGUAAUAC